rnacentral:ncRNA from 1 species
CACCUCUGGAGAGCAGUCCGCCACCGCAGCACCGGCGGGCUCACCGAAGGAGAAAGCCCAGGUCACCGAGCAUCGUGGCUCCGUCGACCGGGUGAAACUCUCAGGUACCCACGACAGAGCGG